AACGUAGGACGCAAGCGUUAUCCGGAGUUACUGGGCGUAAAGGGCGCGUAGGCGGCCUUCUAAGUCGAACGUGAAAUCCCUGGGCUCAACCCAGGAACUGCGUCCGAUACUGGAAGGCUUGAAUCCGGGAGAGGGAUGCGGAAUUCCAGGUGUAGCGGUGAAAUGCGUAGAUAUCGGGAGGAACACCAGUGGCGAAGGCGACUACCUGGCCUGUUCUUGACGCUGAGGCGCGAAAGCUAGGGGAGCAAACGGG
rnacentral:rRNA from 1 species